UCAUCCCUUUGCAAGUGGUGAUAGGACCGAAUGGGAGGAAAAUGAAGGAGGCCACGAGGAUGGUGAAAAUUCCUCAAGGGGGGGAAUGGAGUGAACAAGGUUGAGAGCCACUGGGAUAGAGAGUUCUGAAUGGUGGACGGGAUGGGAUAGAGGGGAAUAGCAGGUCUAGACAUCGGGUUAGUAGGACAGGAAGCGUGUGAGACAACAAAGAAUGGUAAUACUCACACGUAUCCAGAUCCUUCACUUUAGGAAUGUGUGUGUGUGUGUGUGUGUGUGUGUGUGUGUGUGUGUGUGUGUGUGUGUGUGUGUGUGUGUGUGUGUGUGUGUGUGUGUAUUUAUCUCUCUCUGUUAUAUAAUGUAUUGGGUGAUAAUGUUUUUUACAGAUCUCUUUGUACCUGAGUGGAGAGAGAGAGAGAGAGACAUUAUCUCUCACACAUGUUAUCCUGGAGUAUGUGGUGUCCUCGCAAGAGUUACUAGGCGUUAGUAGCUAGCUAGAUCCUGGUCCUAGUAUCCUCCUAGUAGUAUCGUCCUAAUAGCUGUCUUAGAUGUUGUACGAUAUCCUUGUGUUUUGGGGCUGGUUACUGGUGAAUUUAUUACCAUGGGGACUAGUUACACCUGAAUACGUCUUAGGGGGCUGGUUACUGGUGAAUUAAUCCCUAUCAAGUCCAGGUACCACUGAAUCUACCACGUGUUUACUUUUAUCACAUUACUGAAACCUUCAAGUUAAUUUCAGUAGAUGUUUGAUAAUGUUUAUUUUAAUGCUUUUGUUUUCAAGUUUGUUUUAUUUAGCUUAGUGUUAGGUUUUAUAUAUAUAGACAAAAAAAAACUCCAAUGGUACUUGCAAAGGAGGAAUUUCAGAAUGUUUUGUUUUUUUAACCCUAGAAAAGUAAUAUGGGGUAAAAAAAUAAAACCACGUUGAAGUAUGAGUUUUUAUGUUGAAUGUUGAUGAAUUUGAGUGUAGAGUUAUGGUAGUUAUGAGUGUCAUCCCCCCUGAAGGAUGACUCAAUACUAGGAGGUGUUGAGUCUUAGCUGUGUGUCAAGUCCCCAGGAGGAGGUGUUGAGUCUUAGCAGUGUGUCAAGUCCCCAGGAGGAGGUGUUGAGUCUUAGCAGUGUGUCAAGUCCCCAGGAGGAGGUGUUGAGUCUUAGCUGUGUGUCAAGUCCCCAGGAGGAGGUGUUGAGUCUUAGCAGUGUGUCAAGUCCCCAGGAGGAGGUGUUGAGUCUUAGCUGUGUGUCAAGUCCCCAG